UUCUGCCAGAAGGCUGCGUCACUUUCUUGUGAGACAAAACAUUUCCUGAAGCUGAAGGUCGUCUACCAUGAGGUGAUCCUAAAGGCAUCCCAACUCUGAUGUAAUGGUGGUAUGAUCCUGAGUUACGCCAGCAGUAGCAUACCUACUGGUAGUGUCUCCAAUGCUGGACAGGUCAAAGGUGAUGAUCCAGACAAAAAGGCAUACCCUGGUCUUCCAGGGUUGGGCCUGGGGUUGACGACUCCACCCCAUAAAAAGCAUCAAUUUCUAAGAGGCUUUUAAUAAUUGCGGCUGAAUGAAAACACCUAAAACAAUGGCUUACCAUAACUGAGGACUUACAAGAGGGAACCUGGAAUGUGCUGUCCCUAUAUAGAAGUGGGGCACUUGGGAAUUUGAUGGAAAUACUUGCUCUCAGUGGCUGGAUUCAGUUGAAGAUUUGAAGAGAAUGGGCACUAGAAAUUGGAGACAAAAAUCACCAGACCAGGACCAAUGGCAAGCAAUCAUGAAACAGGCCAAGGUUCUUCAUGGACUGUAGCACCCACAAGAGGAGGACGUGGUGGUGGUGGGGAGAAUAUAAAGGAUGAGCUUAUAUUUGCAUAAGUUUAUGCUCAAACAAAAUGGAGAAUACCAAAAUGACUAUAUCAGGUGACUGUGGACAUAGCAGCGGACCAUUUUAACCCAUAAUAAGUGGGAAAUCUCAUGAUCAACUGAGUGACUCUCACCUUCUCAAGAAUCCACAGAAUGAGUGAAAUUCUAACUAAAUCUGUUUAGGAAUGCAGCUCAUACCAAAAUACGUGCAUAUAAAAAUAUCAUCUAAUAAUGAAGUGGCUAGAAAAACACUAACACAGACACAAAGAAUGCAUAUUGUGACAUGUUGCGCUAUGGAGGACACCCCCUCCCUCCUCAGCGGUGACGUAA